CGGAAUUGCUAGUAAUCGCGGAUCAGCAUGCCGCGGUGAAUACGUUCCCGGGCCUUGUACACACCGCCCGUCACACCAUGGGAGCCGGUAAUACCCGAAGUCAGUAGUCCAACCUCGUGAGGACGCUGCCGAAGGUAGGAUUGGCGACUGAGGUGAAGUCGUAACAAGGUACC
rnacentral:rRNA from 1 species